rnacentral:rRNA from 1 species
UACGUAGGGCGCAAGCGUUGUCCGGAAUUAUUGGGCGUAAAGGGCGCGUAGGCGGCUUUGCGUGUCUUUCGUGAAAUCCCUCGGCUCAACUGAGGACGUGCGGAAGAAACUGCAGGGCUGGAGUCCGGGAGAGGAGGGUGGAAUUCCCAGUGUAGCGGUGAAAUGCGUAGAUAUUGGGAGGAACACCGGUGGCGAAGGCGGCCCUCUGGACCGGUACUGACGCUGAUGCGCGAAAGCGUGGGGAGCAAACGGG